rnacentral:rRNA from 1 species
UUUAUGGAGAGUUUGAUCCUGGCUCAGAGUGAACGCUGGCGGCGUGCCUAAUACAUGCAAGUCGAACGAUGAAGCUUCUAGCUUGCUAGAGUGCUGAUUAGUGGCGCACGGGUGAGUAACGCAUAGGUCAUGUGCCUCUUAGUUUGGGAUAGCCAUUGGAAACGAUGAUUAAUACCAGAUACUCCCUACGGGGGAAAGAUUUAUCGCUAAGAGAUCAGCCUAUGUCCUAUCAGCUUGUUGGUAAGGUAAUGGCUUACCAAGGCUAUGACGGGUAUCCGGCCUGAGAGGGUGAACGGACACACUGGAACUGAGACACGGUCCAGACUCCUACGGGAGGCAGCAGUAGGGAAUAUUGCUCAAUGGGGGAAACCCUGAAGCAGCAACGCCGCGUGGAGGAUGAAGGUUUUAGGAUUGUAAACUCCUUUUGUUAGAGAAGAUAAUGACGGUAUCUAACGAAUAAGCACCGGCUAACUCCGUGCCAGCAGCCGCGGUAAUACGGAGGGUGCAAGCGUUACUCGGAAUCACUGGGCGUAAAGAGCGCGUAGGCGGGAUAGUCAGUCAGGUGUGAAAUCCUAUGGCUUAACCAUAGAACUGCAUUUGAAACUACUAUUCUAGAGUGUGGGAGAGGUAGGUGGAAUUCUUGGUGUAGGGGUAAAAUCCGUAGAGAUCAAGAGGAAUACUCAUUGCGAAGGCGACCUGCUGGAACAUUACUGACGCUGAUUGUGCGAAAGCGUGGGGAGCAAACAGGAUUAGAUACCCUGGUAGUCCACGCCCUAAACGAUGGAUGCUAGUUGUUGGAGGGCUUAGUCUCUCCAGUAAUGCAGCUAACGCAUUAAGCAUCCCGCCUGGGGAGUACGGUCGCAAGAUUAAAACUCAAAGGAAUAGACGGGGACCCGCACAAGCGGUGGAGCAUGUGGUUUAAUUCGAAGAUACACGAAGAACCUUACCUAGGCUUGACAUUGAGAGAAUCCGCUAGAAAUAGUGGAGUGUCUGGCUUGCCAGACCUUGAAAACAGGUGCUGCACGGCUGUCGUCAGCUCGUGUCGUGAGAUGUUGGGUUAAGUCCCGCAACGAGCGCAACCCCCUUUCUUAGUUGCUAACAGGUCAUGCUGAGAACUCUAAGGAUACUGCCUCCGUAAGGAGGAGGAAGGUGGGGACGACGUCAAGUCAUCAUGGCCCUUACGCCUAGGGCUACACACGUGCUACAAUGGGGUGCACAAAGAGAAGCAAUACUGCGAAGUGGAGCCAAUCUUCAAAACAUCUCUCAGUUCGGAUUGUAGGCUGCAACUCGCCUGCAUGAAGCUGGAAUCGCUAGUAAUCGCAAAUCAGCCAUGUUGCGGUGAAUACGUUCCCGGGUCUUGUACUCACCGCCCGUCACACCAUGGGAGUUGUGUUUGCCUUAAGUCAGGAUGCUAAAUUGGCUACUGCCCACGGCACACACAGCGACUGGGGUGAAGUCGUAACAAGGUAACCGUAGGUGAACCUGCGGUUGGAUCACCUCCUUUCUAGA